GCCUUUUGGCCUAGUGGUCUAGUACGCGUCGGGUGCUGGCUUCCAGUUAAUCAACAACUGACAACAAGAAAGCAUGAGGUUGCGGGUUCAAUCCUCGCGAGGUGCG